rnacentral:rRNA from 1 species
AGGCCUAACACAUGCAAGUCGAACGGUAACAUUUCUAGCUUGCUAGAAGAUGACGAGUGGCGGACGGGUGAGUAAUACUUAGGAAUAUGCCUUUGUGUGGGGGAUAACUAUUGGAAACGAUAGCUAAUACCGCAUAAUGUCUUCGGACCAAAGGGGGCUUCGGCUCCCGCGCAAAGAGUAGCCUAAGCGAGAUUAGCUUGUUGGUGAGGUAAAGGCUCACCAAGGCGACGAUCUCUAGCUGUUCUGAGAGGAAGAUCAGCCACACUGGAACUGAGACACGGUCCAGACUCCUACGGGAGGCAGCAGUGGGGAAUAUUGCACAAUGGGGGAAACCCUGAUGCAGCCAUGCCGCGUGUGUGAAGAAGGCCUUCGGGUUGUAAAGCACUUUCAGUUGUGAGGAAAGGUUGAUGGUUAAUACCCAUUAGCUGUGACGUUAGCAACAGAAGAAGGACCGGCUAACUCCGUGCCAGCAGCCGCGGUAAUACGGAGGGUCCGAGCGUUAAUCGGAAUUACUGGGCGUAAAGCGCACGCAGGCGGUUUGUUAAGCUAGAUGUGAAAGCCCUGGCUCAACCUGGGAAUUGCAUUUAGAACUGCAGGCUAGAGUUUUGGAGAGGGGAGUGGAAUUCCAGGUGUACGGUGAAAUGCGUAGAUAUCUGGAGGAACAUAGUGGCGAAGCGACUCCCUGGCAGUAACUGACGCUCAUGUGCAAAGUGUGGUAGCGAACAGGAUAGAUACCCUGUAGUCACACCGUAAACGCUGCUACUAGCUGUUGUGGAUUAAUCCGGAGUAGC